GGUCCUAUAGUCUAGAGGUUAGGACAUGGGAUUUUGAUUAAGGCGCGCUCUUGACUUCCCGGAGCCCCGGUUCGAACCCGGGUAGGACCU